rnacentral:rRNA from 1 species
UACGUAGGGUGCGAGCGUUGUCCGGAAUUAUUGGGCGUAAAGAGCUCGUAGGCGGUCUGUCGCGUCGAUCGUGAAAACUUGGGGCUUAACCCUGAGCUUGCGGUCGAUACGGGCAUGACUGGAGUUCGGCAGGGGAGACUGGAAUUCCUGGUGUAGCGGUGAAAUGCGCAGAUAUCAGGAGGAACACCGGUGGCGAAGGCGGCAUCCUGGACCGACACUGACACUGAGGAGCGAAAGCCAGGGAGGCAAACGGGG